ensembl:lncRNA
UGAGGAAUAACAAUUAAUUUUAAGAAUGGAAAAACGUUUAUAGACAAUAAUCAGGACAAUAGCAUAACCAAAAUUUACAGGGGAAACAGCGACAUUUGACAGUGUAUGGAGCCCAUUUAAUAAUUAAACGUUAAAAAACGACAUGAAUAUAGUCUUUGGUAACGUUAAAUUAACUGCCUGACGAAUGAAUAUUGAAUGUGCAAUAUUUCAUCGCCUACAAUUCUGUUGCGUUAAAUGCCAAAUGGUAAAAAUACAAUCGGUGUAACUGGAAAACUCGCAUGUUUAACGUUACUUUGUAUAUUUUUUAUUUCUUUAUUUCGUUAGUAAUAAUAAGCAAUUCUUUAUUUUAAUUAUCAGUGCUUCGUUAGAGACUUAUUUUAAAUUCACAUUAUUUUCAUGUGUGAAACAAAUGUACCACGUACAAAUAGAAAAAUGCAAAUAAAUUAAAUUCUUUAAAAAAAAUUAAAAUAAAUAAAAACGGUUUCCUGCGCGCUGCAAACGUUAAACUCACGCGGGUGAUUCUUUCUCUGAAGAGAGCAACGCCUGCGGAUUUCAAGACACGCGCAGAGCAGAUUACAACGCACCAUAUGGCAGUCGCGAUACCAUGAUCUUUAGCAUCAACCAGCACAGACAGCCUGCUAGAGCUGGGCCCUGA